GGAGCCUGGGGAGGGGGCCCGGAGCCGCUCAUUACCCAGAGGAGGCUACUGCCAGGUCCAGGGGUCAGGGCCUUGCCUCUGCAGUCCUGGAGCUAGUGGGUCCCACCUCUCUGAGACCCCUUCCACAGAGGGAAGCGCAUGGCCCAAGGGCUGAAUGGCCUUCCAACUGCUGUGAGCCCCUCACUCCAUGAACGGAGUAAAUUUUCUUUCCCUCAUCCUCCUGACUCAGGUUAGCCCCUCCCCCAAGGACUAAGGGAGCCCCUCACCCCAUGACUGAGUGAAUUUUCUUUCCCUCAUCCUCCUGACCAGGUGAGCCCCCCGCCCCAGGACCGAGGGGGCCCCUCACCCCAUGACAGAGUGAACCCCUCAUCCCCCUGACCCAGGGCCAGGAGGGGACAGGUGCUACGGACUGCAUGGGCUCCUGAGGGUGGGGGUGCACCUCGAUCUGCCGGUCCUGGAAGACGCUGCAGAUGCUGCUGUUGAAGCUGGCUCCGGAGAACAUGGAUGUGACGGGGUAGGUGAGGUCUAGUACGGCCUUCAUCAUGGACGUCAUGCCCUGGGGGCACAUUUGUGGUUCACAGAAGGCUCCCACACAACCCUGUGAGCUGCCACAGCACACCCAUGGUGCACUGAGGGGCUCUUGUGAAUGAAACGGGGGUCCAGAGCGUCCUUGGGCCCUGCCCAAGGUCCUGAGGCUUGGUGCCCUGGCUGGAGCUUCAGAGGGGGCAGAGGCUAGUAGACAAGCCAGAGCCUGAAAACCAAGACACAGCCCUGCCCUCAGUCCCUUCUUGACCUCUAUGCCCCUGCUAGCCCGACCCUCACAGGCUCCGCAAGCCCCCCAUGCCUGGGGCCUCCUCGGCUUUGCCUGCUCAGCUCUGGGGCAAGGCCUGGCCCAGCCUCAUGGCCAGAGGGUUGACGAGGAGGAGAGCUCAGGGCGGGCUGCUGGGCACACAAGGUCCCCGGGCCAGGGGGACACAGUGGAGUGCUCUCAGGAAAGUCACAGCUGCUCAGCCCUGGCUUACAUGCCACUGUGGCAAUCCAUCGGGGUGCCAGGGAUGCCUGGCUCUUUUGAGUUCCUUCUGGGUGGGCCUGGGUGGGGCCCAUCCUUCCUCAGUGAGGCGGGCAGCACUCAAGACUGACCUCGAACUAGGCUCACAAUGCCCAGCGAGGGUGAAGGGGAAGGGUCUUCCCUGCUGCGGUGAGCCAGGGCUCAGGGGACGAAGGCCAGGAGGGAGGCGCUUGGAGCGUGGGCUGUGUGAUGCGGGCAGGAAGAACACCUCAGCCACAGGCAGAGGCAGCCCCGGUCCUCCCCUGAGGAAGCCCCUGCCCAGCACCAGAGGGUCUCAUGGAACUGAGCCAGACCCCAGCACCUGCCAUUCCCUCUCCUCAGCAUGAGCGGCAGGCACACAGCCCCAGCCCCACCUUGCCCUGGCCAGCUCCCAAGGCCCAGCGUUCCCAGGACGGAGGGAGGACCAGCCCAGAGAGCUCUGGCCAUUUCCACACUUGGCCCCCCAGCGCCAGACCGGCAGGGAAGGGACAGGGAGAGGCCUGUCCAGUUGCUCUGAGAUAGGACAGGCUCGGAGCCACCUCUGCCCAUGGGGCAUUCUGUCCCAGUGCUGUCCCGGAGGCCGUCUGCUGUGUGCCAGUCCCCAAGCCCUCUUUUGAGCGGCCACAAUGAAGGUAACCAGGUGACUCAUUUUAGGGACAGAAACAUUCCUGGAACAGAAUGGGGAACCGGUGUCAGGGGCCUCCGGACUCGCUGGUGGGGCUGGUGGCGGCCCCAGGCCACAUGAAUGCAGCACAGGCCUGCUUGGGAGCUGCUGCGGCAGAGGAUGACCAAUUUUCUUUCCUUAGAAAAGGAGAACAUGAACGCUUCUGAUCCCACUCAUGGCUCCAGCCAAAGCUCGGUUUUGUUCCACAAAAGCAAGCGCAGUGCUGAGGAGGGCAGACAGUGGCCACGCCCGCUGAGGAACCAAAGCCCAGCUGCCUCCCUCUGCUCCCCUAAGGGGAGCCUAUUCUCACUGCUGUCUUUGAUUCUGUAUUUGGUAUUUUGAUUCUGGAAUCCAUUUAUCACAAGCCCAGACUCAUGGCCAAAGUAGUUUACAUCUCCCCUGUAACACUGAACCGCCCCCAGCUGCCCUGACAUGAUCUCAUGCCCCCAUGCCAACACCUCCCUGCCCUACCUCAACCCAGGCUGGGUGCCAUGAACUGGGACAGCACCCAGCCUGCCAGGAGGACUCAAUAAGCCCAUCCUCAGCUGCUCACACUGCCCUGUCUGGCCUGUAGGGCAGAAACCCCUGUCUCAGACCUGGGCCUGGAUCAGACGGCCACCACCAACCUCCACCAUCUCAGACCUGGGUCAGACCACCCCCCACCACCAGCCUCCACCAUCUCAGACAUGGAUCAGACCACCCCCCACCACCAGCCUCCACCAUCUCAGACAUGGAUCAGAUCACCCCCCACCACCAACCUCCACCAUCUCAGACCUGAAUCAGAUCACCCCCCACCACCAACCUCCACCAUCUCAGACCUGGAUCACACCACCCCCCACCACCAACCUUCAUCAUCUCAGACCCGGAUCACACCACCCCCCACCACCAACCUCUACCAUCUCAGACCUGAAUCAGAUCACCCCCCACCACCAACCUCUACCAUCUCAACCCAGAUCAGACCACCCCCCACCACCAACCUCCACCAUCUCAGACCUGGAUCACACCACCCCCCAUCACCAACCUCCACCAUCUCAGACCCAGAUCACACCACCCCCCACCACCAACCUCCACCAUCUUAAUCCAGAUCACACCACCCUCACUACCAACCUCCACCAUCUCAGACCAGGAUCGGACCAACCCCCACCACCAACCUCCACCAUCUCAGACCCAGAUCACACCACCCCCCACCACCAACCUCCACCAUCUCAGACCUGGAUCGGACCACCCCCACCAACAACCUGCGUCUGCACCUUCUCUGUGCUUCCCCUUUGCCUCAGAGGGUAGCCUCCUUGAAGGCAGGGCCCUGCAUAGCUACAUGAAGAGGCCAAUGGCCCCAGUGUCCCUCAGGCACCAGCACGGACCUGGGGGCCUUGCUCUAGUGAGGGUGGUGGGUGCCUGCUUACCUCAGCCCACUGCUUGGCCCGGAUCCGCAUCUGGCUGUAGUUCCGUUCCUCAGAGUACAGGGCACCCAUGAAGGCCCCAAUGGACGUGCCUCCCACCAUGUCCACGGGGAUUCCACACUCUGCCAAGGCCUUGAGAAUGCCCACCUGGGCACAGCCUCUGCACCAGCCAGGGACAUAGAGCGACGAGUGAGCACCAGGCCCAGGCUGUGCCCUGCAGACGCCUCAGAGGCAGCCACCUGCGAGCAUCUGCUCAUCCCCAGUUCCCAACUCCUCCAAGCAGAGAUGCUGACUCAAAAAGGGAUUCCAGGUGCAAUGAGCUCAAACCUGUAAUCUCAGCACUUUGGGAGGCCGAGGCAGGCAGAUCACUUGAAGCUAAGAGUUCAAAGCCAGCCUGGCCAACAGGGCGAAACCCCGUCUCUACUAAAAAUACAAACAUUAGCUGGGCAUGGUGGUGGGCACCUGUAAUCCCAUCUACUCAGGAGGCUGAGGCAGAAGAAUUACUUGAACCUGGGAGAGGGAGGUUGUAGUGAGUCGAGAUCGUACCACUGCACUCUAGCCCAUGUGACAGAGUGAGACUCUGUCUCAAAAUAAAUAAAAUCUCUCUUUCUGGAGGUACUGAGGGAUGUGAGGCUGGGAUGGGGAGGAGGAUGUCCUGAGAGAUGCCUGGCAUUGGCCUUUUCUACCCACAAACACAGCUGCCUCCAGCAAGGUGUCUGAGAGGUGGUGGGAGAACUGGAGUUGAGGGGCCCUGGAAGGGAGGAGCAUCAUGAGGGGCACCACCCCAGGAGUCAGGUAAGCUGGGGUGGUCAGGUAGACCAGCACCCAUGAGAUCAGGGAGCACCCCUGAGACCAGGGAGCACAGCACCCCCAAGACCAGGCAGCCAGCACCCAGGGCCUCAAAUCACUGCUGCCACUUUCAUACAGAAUGUCCACUACUCAACCAAAGGUUACCAGUCAUAUGAGGAGAAAAGCCUCAUACAGGCUCUUCUUUUGGGACCAUCGUGAAAAGAAAAAACAGACAACAAAAGUGGACCCAGAGUGCCCCCCGGUAAGAGACACAGACUUUUACAUUGACUGUGCUUAAAGUGUGUGAGGAGCCGAGCAGACAAGGGAAGACCACCCAGCCCUCAGGAGGGAACUCGGACAUGAGCCACAGCAGGGAGGCUCCUGGAUACAUUUGCUAUGGUUUGGCUGUGUCCGCCACACAUACAUGUUGAAUUUUAAUCCCCAGUAUUGGAGGAGGGACCUGGUGGGAGGUAACUGGAUCAUGGGGGCAGAUUUGAGGUGGGAAGACUGUUUGAACGCGGGAAAUCAAGGCCGCACUGAGCUGAGGUCACACCACUGCACUCCAACCUGGACUGCAGUGAGACCCUGCCUAAAGCAAGUUCUGGAAAUGGACAGUGGCAAUGUUUGCACAACACUGUAACAGCGUUGCCCAAUGAAUUAUAUUAAUAUCAUUAACAUAUCAAUACUUAAUUGAAUACUCAAAAACAGUUAAAAUGGUAAAUUUUAUGUUGUAUGUAUUUUAACAUAAUAAAAAAGAACCAUAUGUAAUACUGCUGCAAAAUAUUAAAUACUCAGGUAUAAACCUUAAAAACAAGUUCAAAGAAUUAAAAACAAGAGUGUUAAUUCUGGCAUAAAACCAAAUGGAAAUUCUAGAAGUGAAAAAUAUAACAAAUGAAAAACUCAGUGAGUAGGCUUAACAGCAGAACACAACAGCUGAAGAGAGAAAUGGUAAAAUAUAAGAUGGGUCAGAAGAAAAUAUUCAUUGAAUCAUGAAGCAUCAAAAGAAUAGAAUAUGUAAAAUAUUGUUUUACAAAAUAUGUAAAAGAGAUACAGAAACAUGGGUUCUGGCACCAAACUCUAAUUUAUGUGCGAUCUGAGCCACAGAAAGAAGACGGGGCGGGAAGCCGUAUCUGAAGAGACGGGGUGGCAUUUUUUAGAACUGAUGACAGACAUCAAGCCUCAGAAUCAGGAAGCAUUAUAAAUCCUAAGCAUAAAUCAAAAGAAAACCAUUCCCAUGUUGUCAAAAACCCAAGGCAAAAAAAAAAAAAAAAAAAUCUUUAAGCCAGCCUGAGAAAAUAAAAGACACAUUACCUUCACUUUUCUGUCCUCUGAGUGGUUGUGAGAGACAGCAUAUAUUUACUCUGUUUCUUUAGAGACAAUGUCUGCUUGUCUAAAUGUUAGGGAAAAAAGAAUAAUCUAAAUAAAAGAGAGUAAAAUUAAGCAAAUAACAAAGAUAAGAGCAGAUCUUAAAGAGCCAAAAAAUAAACCUACAAUAGAGAAGAUGGACAAAGAUGAAAGCUGGCAUUGGACGGGCCAAUUCAAUGGGCAGCCCUGGUGAGACUGACCAAGGAAAUGAAAGACAGUAACCACCAAGAAACGAAGGCAUCGGGAACAAAGAAGGGAACAUCGGUGCAGACACUUUAGUUAAAACACUGAACAACUUCAUUCCAUAAAUAGAAAAAUUCAGAUAAAAUGGGCACAUUUUUAGAAAAACAUAACUCACCAAAAUAAUGUAAGAAACAGAACAUCUGAGUAGUACUGGAACUCAGCACAGAUUAAAGAAAUUUAAUCUUUUAUUUAUUUCUUAUUUUUAUGUUUAGACAAGGUCUCA